rnacentral:tRNA from 1 species
AAUGAAGUGCCUGAUAAAAGGGUUAUCUUGAUAGGAUAAUUUAUGUAAUAAAAAUUUACCUUCAUUA